rnacentral:tRNA from 1 species
GGUCUCAUAGCUCAGCGGGAGAGCGCUCGCCUCACACGCGAGAGGUCGCUGGUUCGAUCCCAGCUGGGACCA